rnacentral:misc_RNA from 1 species
GUAGGUGAACCUGCGGAAGGAUCAUUAACACGUAUCCAACGUUAAAACCCCCGUGAACUUUCAGCCUGCUCUUGUGCAUGAAAGGCUGCAGCAAUCUCGGUAAAUCAAGUGGGAGAGCAGUUUGAUUCGAGACCUCUGCAUCAUUUCAUGUACAAUCGUAGCGGUAGGAUCAGUGGCAUGGCGUCCCGAGCCUCCAGUGAAUGACAGCGUCACUGGAACAAGUGAGGGAUAACGCUUAAACGGUUGCUAG